AGCAGCCGCGGUAAUUCCAGCUCCAAUAGCGUAUAUUAAAGUUGUUGCAGUUAAAAAGCUCGUAGUUGAAUUUCGGGAUCGAAUUGUUGGUCGUGCCUCGGUACGCACUGGCAUUAUCGGUCUCUACCUUCUGAAGAACCGCGAUGUCAUUAAUUUGGUGUCGUGGGGAAUCAGGACUGUUACUUUGAAAAAAUUAGAGUGUUUAAAGCAGGCUUACGCUUGAAUACAUUAGCAUGGAAUAAUGAAAUAGGACGUUUGAUUCUAUUUUGUUGGUUUCUAGGAUCGACGUAAUGAUUAGUAGGGAUAGUUGGGGGCAUUAGUAUUCAAUUGUCAGAGGUGAAAUUCUUGGAUUUAUUGAAGACUAACUACUGCGAAAGCAUUUGCCAAGGAUGUUUUCAUUAAUCAAGAACGAAAGUUAGGGGAUCGAAGACGAUCAGAUACCGUCGUAGUCUUAACCAUAAACUAUGCCGACUAGGGAUCGGAUGAUGUUAAUUUUAUAAUGACUCA
rnacentral:rRNA from 1 species